UACGAAGGGGGCUAGCGUUGUUCGGAAUUACUGGGCGUAAAGGGCGCGUAGGCGGUACUUCAAGUCAGGCGUGAAAGCCCCGGGCUCAACCUGGGAACCGCGCUUGAGACUGGAGAACUAGAGUUCGGGAGAGGAUGGUGGAAUUCCCAGUGUAGAGGUGAAAUUCGUAGAUAUUGGGAAGAACACCGAUGGCGAAGGCAGCCAUCUGGACCGACACUGACGCUGAGGCACGAAAGCAUGGGGAGCAAACAGG
rnacentral:rRNA from 1 species